rnacentral:tRNA from 1 species
CCUUUCUAAGGAUGAUCAAGAAUGGGCCUAGGCCUUUUUUGAUCUGAUUAGACAUUGACGGUUUAAAGUCUUAUUUAAACCGUUGACAUAUUUUAAACAUUCUAUGAACCGUGGGUUUUGAAUGGAAACUCUGUCCCCUUUAGUGAUACAGAGCAUAACUGUUUUUUAUCCAUGGUUCAUUUGUUUAAAAAUUUAUAAAAAGACUAGCCGCCUUCAUUUCUCUUUCUUCAGAUGAUGAUCCUAAGCCUUCUGGCGAUCUGUUUGCACAAGCCUCUGAGAGGGAUGAAGAUAUUGUUUUCUUUGAUCAGAUUAUGCCGGUAAAGGUUUUCUGGUUUACCCUAUAGGGCUUGUAGCUCAGUUGGUUAGAGCGCGCGCUUGAUAAGCGUGAGGUCGGAGGUUCAAGUCCUCCCAGGCCCACCAGUUACACGAUGCUAAAAGUUGCUAUAUUGGGAGAGUUGAUAAUCCCUUACAGGAAAUUAUUGCCCUUAAUAAAACUUUAUUUUCUAAAAGCAUUCAGAGCUGACAUAGAAUAGAGCUGACAUAGAAUUGAGAAUCUGACAUAGGAAUUAUUGAAAUUGUUUUGGAAUUAUUGAAAUUGUUUUCUAUCAUUUUAAAAGGCUAAAAUAUUCUGUCUCUAUUUUUAAAAUAGCAUCAGUGUUUUGUAAGAGUGUGAAGUUUUUAAGUGUGAGUUUUUUAUAUUUUAGUGUGAGGUUUUAUAAGGGUAUGACGUGAGAGCGUUUUGACCUGUUUUGAUGGGCCGUAGCUCAGCUGGGAGAGCACCUGCUUUGCAAGCAGGGGGUCGUCGGUUCGAUCCCGUCCGGCUCCACCAUAAUUUGGUUCAUCAUUAUUGUUAGAAGAAUAGUUAUUGCAAGAGAUUGAGAGAUCUCUUUGCUUGUUCUAUUGAAAUUGUGAAGAAGAAGGUAUAUUCAGACGUUUUUUGCUUGAACUCAUUCUUAUGAAAGAGAUUUUUCUUAUGAAAGAGAUUUUUAAGAAUGGAUAGCUUAAAAAGAAGAAUGGAUAGAUUAAAAAGGUGGCUUAAAAAGAUGGCUGUUUUUAAAUGAAAAUAGUUAUUUUUACGCUCUUUUGACGAUUGUUACAACAUUAUACGAUUAAAACAUUAUACGAUAAUGAUAAUAACGAUAAUAAAAAGAGCUUUCAUUAAUAAAAAGAGCUUUCAUUAAUAAUAAAGAGCUUUCAUUAAUAAUAAAGAGCUUUCAUUGAACUUUCAUUGAAGAAGCAUUUUGAGCAAAACAGAUGUGUCGCAAGGAAGAGCUCAAAUUCCUUGCUUAUGAUUGGCAACUUAACCGUGCCAUUGAAUAUAUCUCGAGAAGUUGGUCUUUUCUGCUGAUAUUUUUGUUUUAAGUGCCUAUUGAUGCUAGAUUAUUUUUAAAAAUAAUUUUGUAUUGAUGAUUUUGCACGGAAUAAUUGACGAAUGAAUAUUGGCAAUGAGAAUG